AUUGAACGCUGGCGGCAGGCCUAACACAUGCACGUCGAACGAGUGGCGGACGGGUGAGUACUGUCUGGGAAACUGCCCGAUGGCGGGGGAUAACUAAUGGAAACGGUAGCUAAUACCGCAUACCAUCGGAUGUGCCCAGAUGGGGUUAGCUAGUAGGUGGGGUAACGUCUCACCUAGGCGACGAUCCCUAGCUGGUCUGAGAGGAUGACCAGCCACAAUGGAACUGAGACACGGUCCAGACUCCUACGUGAGGCAGCAGUGGGGAAUAUUGCACAAGAGGCGCAAGCCUGAUGCAGCCAUGCCGGGUGUAUGAAGAAGGCCUUCGGGUUGUAAAGUACUUUCAGCGAGGAGGCGUUACUCGCAGAAGAAGCACCGGCUAACGCCGUGCCAGCAGCCGCGGUAAUAC
rnacentral:rRNA from 1 species